AAAAUUAAAAAUAAUAUUCUAUUUAUUGAAAUUAUUGCUCCAAUUGAAGAGAUUAAAUUUCAACAAUAAUAUGAAUCUGGGUAAUCUGAGUAUCGUCGAGGUAUAGAUAUUAAUCCUAAAAAAUGUUGAGGAAAGAAUGUUAUAUUUACACCAAUAAAUAUUAUAAUAAAUUGAAUUUUUAAUCAUUUUUGAUUUAUUGUUAAACCUGUAAUUAUUGGAAAUCAAUGAAUAAUACUUGUAAUAAUAGCGAAAACUGCUCCUAUUGAUAAAACAUAGUGAAAAUGACCUACUACAUAAUAUGUCAUUUUCACUAUGUUUUAUCAAUAGGAGCAGUUUUCGCUAUUAUUACAAGUAUUAUUCAUUGAUUUCCAAUAAUUACAGGUUUAACAAUAAAUCAAAAAUGAUUAAAAAUUCAAUUUAUUAUAAUAUUUAUUGGUGUAAAUAUAACAUUCUUUCCUCAACAUUUUUUAGGAUUAAUAUCUAUACCUCGACGAUACUCAGAUUACCCAGAUUCAUAUUAUUGUUGAAAUUUAAUCUCUUCAAUUGGAGCAAUAAUUUCAAUAAAUAGAAUAUUAUUUUUAAUUUUUAUUAUUUUUGAAAGAUUAAUUUCUAAACGAUUAAUUUUAUUUAAAUUUCAUCAAUCAUCACUUGAAUGAUUAAAUAAUUACCCUCCUUUUGAUCACUCAUUAAUUGAAAUUCCAUUAAUUUCAAAAAAUAAAAUUAAAAAUAUUUUCAAUAAAUAAAUUACCUUUUUAAUAUAAAUUUUACAUUUAAUAUAAUAUUAAUAUGGCAGAUUAGUGCUUUGAACUUAAAAUUCAACUAUAAAGAUAUU
rnacentral:misc_RNA from 1 species